rnacentral:rRNA from 1 species
UACGGAGGGGGCUAGCGUUGUUCGGAAUUACUGGGCGUAAAGGGCGCGUAGGUGGCCCGGUCAGUUCGUGGUGAAAGCGCGGGGCUCAACCCUGCGUCGGCCAUGGAUACUGCCGCGGCUGGAGCACUGUAGAGGCAGGCGGAAUUCCGGGUGUAGCGGUGGAAUGCGUAGAGAUCCGGAAGAACACCGGUGGCGAAGGCGGCCUGCUGGGGCAGUUGCUGACACUGAGGCGCGACAGCGUGGGGAGCAAACAGG